UGCUUUUUGAAAUGGCAGAUUCUGGAUGGAGGGUGAUGGCUUGGCCCAAAGCUCUUGAGAAGUGUUCAUCCACUACUGACCCAAUGUCUCCCUGGAAAUAAGUGAAAAGGACACAGCGAGAGUUAAGGUCUUAUAAAAGGAUUUGGCAGAUGUGCUGAACUCAUGUCUUCAAAAAUCAAACUAAAAUGGCAAAAUAAGUCUGUGUGAAGAUGCAUUUUGCAUGGAACAUAUUUUUU
rnacentral:lncRNA from 1 species